UACGGGGGGGGCAAGCGUUGUUCGGAAUUACUGGGCGUAAAGGGCUCGUAGGCGGCCAACUAAGUCAGACGUGAAAUCCCUCGGCUUAACCGGGGAACUGCGUCUGAUACUGGAUGGCUUGAAUCCGGGAGAGGGAUGCGGAAUUCCAGGUGUAGCGGUGAAAUGCGUAGAUAUCUGGAGGAAUACCGGUGGCGAAGGCGGCAUCCUGGACCAUUACUGACGCUGAGGCGCGAAAGCUAGGGGAGCAAACGGGG
rnacentral:rRNA from 1 species